UUUCCGUAGGUGAACCUGCGGAAGGAUCAUUAUUGAAUAAACAGUGUGGGUUGUUGCUGGCCUUCUGGCAUGUGCACGCCUGCCAUAUGUUUCAUUCCCUUCUUUCCACCUGUGCACUAUGUGUAGGCUAUGUAUGCUGUAUUGUCAGGCCCUUCAUAAGGCUUGGUUUAGAGAGGAUGCUUGUCUUUAUGAGACAGGCUCAUCUUGGGCGUACAGGUCUAUGUUUUACACCAACACCAAAUGAAUGUCUUAGAAUGUAUUUUUUCAGACUCUUGCUAGCCUUUAAACCAUAUACAACUUUCAACAACGGAUCUCUUGGCUCUC
rnacentral:misc_RNA from 1 species